rnacentral:rRNA from 1 species
UACGUAGGGUGCGAGCGUUGUCCGGAAUUAUUGGGCGUAAAGAGCUCGUAGGCGGUUUGUCGCGUCGGCCGUGAAAUCUCCACGCUUAACGUGGAGCGUGCGGUCGAUACGGGCAGACUUGAGUUCGGUAGGGGAGACUGGAAUUCCUGGUGUAGCGGUGAAAUGCGCAGAUAUCAGGAGGAACACCGAUGGCGAAGGCAGGUCUCUGGGCCAUAACUGACGCUGAGAAGCGAAAGCAUGGGGGAGCGAACAGG